UUCUCCCCACCGAGAGAGGACUCUUAUUAU
rnacentral:piRNA from 1 species